rnacentral:rRNA from 1 species
UUUAACGAGGAACCAUUGGAGGGCAAGUCUGGUGCCAGCAGCCGCGGUAACUCCAGCUCCAAUAGCGUAUAUUAAAGUUGUUGCGGUUAAAAAGCUCGUAGUCGGAUGUCUGUCUUCGGCCGGGCGGCGCCGCUCUGAAUCAAGGGUGUUUGCGUUUCACGCUCUGGGAGCCCGGGUGUCAAAGCCCGACUCUCUUCACGGUCGGACAACAUCGCCGGAGUGGUGGUCGGCGGGUCGCGGUUGUAUCGGUUUCGAUUCGGUUGAGUGCGAGAGUGACUCUCGGGUCUCUCUCUUCUCGAUCGGUCGUUGUCGUUGACUCGAUUCGCUCCACCCAGUCAAUCGUUCGGGGUGCCCUUCACCGGGUGUCUCGGGCGGCCGGCAACGUUUACUUUGAACAAAUUAGAGUGCUCAAAGCAGGUGUAUCCCAACGCCUGAAUAUCGCAGCAUGGAAUGAUGGAAUAGGACCUCGGUCCGAUUUUGCUGGUCUUUUACUUUUGGACCCGAGGUAAUGGUCAAUA